UCGAGAAUCUUCCACAAUGGACGAAAGUCUGAUGGAGCGACGCCGCGUGAUCGAUGAAGUGCUUCGGUAUGUAAAGAUCUUUUAUGUGGGAUGAAAUUAUUGACAGUACCACAUGAAUAAGGGGCUCCUAACUCUGUGCCAGCAGGAGCGGUAAUACAGAGGCCCCAAGCGUUAUCCGGAAUCACUGGGCGUAAAGGGUGUCGAGGCGGUUGUAUUAGUCGUUCGUAAAAUCUACGAGCUUAACUUGUAGGCGGCGAACGAAACGGUACGACUUGAGGUUUGGAGAGGUGCGUGGAACUCACGGUGUAGGGGUGAAAUCCGUUGAUAUCGUGGGGAACACCAAAGGCGAAGGCAGCGCACUGGCCAAAAUCUGACGCUCACACACGAAAGCUAGGGUAGCGAAGAGGAUUAGAUACCCAAGUAGUCCCUGAGCGGGCUGGCAAGGCGCAU
rnacentral:rRNA from 1 species